rnacentral:rRNA from 1 species
AAUGCCGGAUGCUCCGACUCCUCGCAUGGGGUGUCGGGAAAGAUUUCAUCGGUAUGGGAUGGGGUCGCGUCCUAUCAGGUAGUCGGCGGGGUAACGGCCCACCGAGCCUACGACGGGUAGCCGGCCUGAGAGGGCGACCGGCCACAUUGGGACUGAGAUACGGCCCAGACUCCUACGGGAGGCAGCAGUGGGGAAUAUUGCACAAUGGGCGCAAGCCUGAUGCAGCGACGCCGCGUGCGGGAUGACGGCCUUCGGGUUGUAAACCGCUUUUGAUCGGGAGCAAGCCUUCGGGUGAGUGUACCUUUCGAAUAAGCACCGGCUAACUACGUGCCAGCAGCCGCGGUAAUACGUAGGGUGCAAGCGUUAUCCGGAAUUAUUGGGCGUAAAGGGCUCGUAGGCGGUUCGUCGCGUCCGGUGUGAAAGUCCAUCGCUUAACGGUGGAUCUGCGCCGGGUACGGGCGGGCUGGAGUGCGGUAGGGGAGACUGGAAUUCCCGGUGUAACGGUGGAAUGUGUAGAU